UACGAGGGGGGCAAGCGUUGUUCGGAAUUAUUGGGCGUAAAGGGCGCGUAGGCGGUGCGGUAAGUCACCUGUGAAAUCUCUGGGCUCAACUCAGAGUCUGCAGGCGAAACUGCCGUGCUGGAGUAUGGGAGAGGUGCGUGGAAUUCCCGGUGUAGCGGUGGAAUGCGCAGAUAUCGAGGAGGAACACCGGUGGCGAAGGCGGGAUCCUGGGCCAGUACUGACGCUGAGGAGCGAAAGCGUGGGGAGCAAACAGGG
rnacentral:rRNA from 1 species